UACAUUUGUUGGUUUUGUAAAUGUGUUUUAAAUGCCACGCCAUCUUGAGGGGGUGGUGAGCGUACGCUCGUGAGGGUUCAAGUCCCUCCAACCGCACCA
rnacentral:tRNA from 1 species